AUUGAACGCUGGCGGCAGGCCUAACACAUGCAAGUCGAGCGGAUGAGGAAAGCUUGCUUUUCGAUUCAGCGGCGGACGGGUGAGUAAUGCCUAGGAAUCUGCCUGUUAGUGGGGGAUAACUCGGUGAAACUCGGGCUAAUACCGCAUACGUCAUACGGGAGAAAGUGGGGGAUCUUCGGAGCUCACGCUAACAGAUGAGCCUAGGUCGGAUUAGCUAGUAGGUGAGGUAAUGGCUCACCUAGGCGACGAUCCGUAACUGGUCGGAGAGGAUGAUCAGUCACACUGGAACUGAGACACGGUCCAGACUCCUACGGGAGGCAGCAGUGGGGAAUAUUGGACAAUGGGCGAAAGCCUGAUCCAGCCAUGCCGCGUGUGUGAAGAAGGUCUUCGGAUUGUAAAGCACUUUAAGUUGGGAGGAAGGGUAUUCACCUAAUACGUGGGUACUUUGACGUUACCAACAGAAUAAGCACCGGCUAACUCUGUGCCAGCAGCCGCCGUAACAC
rnacentral:rRNA from 1 species